rnacentral:rRNA from 1 species
AUGAGGGAGAGCCCAUUGAGGGUGAGGCCAAACUCAUGGAGCAUCAAUGAUCAGGGGAUUACAGUUAGAGAAGCAAUUGAUAAGGAUUGGGGUGGUUUCACCUUCAGAAGAGCUCUGUAUGGGGAUACUGAGCAACUUUGGAAUAGCAUGAGAGCAAGAUGUGAGGAAGUUUUGAUGCAUGGGGGGAGGGACAAAUCCAUGUGGAUGUUGACUGCUGAUAGAAAAUUCACUGUCAAAUCACUAUACAGGGAUCUGAUCAAGUCUGAUAAAGAUAGCAAGAAACUUAUAAUGGUUGGCGUCUCAGCGCUGUUGUGGGCGAUCUGGAGAAGUAGAAAUAACAUUGUGUUUGAUAGAAAAAUGAUUUCUGACCCAAUGGGUAUUGUGAAAAUGAUGUGUGGAUGGAUUUCUGACUGGGCUGUUUUGCAGAAAAAGUGCCCAGGGGAAAGAAUGUUGAUGCUGGGAGCAAAACUCAUCGUGCAAGUAGCAAGUGAUGUCUACAAAGCUGCGCAAGGCUGGCGUUUUGAAGUCCUUCGAAUCCAGCAGUGA